GUAGGUGGCAAGCGUUGUCCGGAAUUAUUGGGCGUAAAGCGCGCGCAGGCGGUUCUUUAAGUCUGAUGUGAAAGCCCACGGCUCAACCGUGGAGGGUCAUUGGAAACUGGAGAACUUGAGUACAGAAGAGGAAAGCGGAAUUCCACGUGUAGCGGUGAAAUGCGUAGAGAUGUGGAGGAACACCAGUGGCGAAGGCGGCUUUCUGGUCUGUAACAGACGCUGAGGCGCGAAAGCGUGGGGAGCAAACAGGGAUUAGAUACCCUGGUAGUCCACGCCGUAAACGAUGAGUGCUAAGUGUUAGGGGGGGUUUUCCGGCCCCCUUAGUGCCCGCAGCUAACGCAUUAAGCACUCCGCCUGGGGAGUACGGCCGCAAGGCUG
rnacentral:rRNA from 1 species